UCCCUGAUGGCUCAGACAGUAAAGCACCUGCCUGCGAUGUGCGAGACCCAGGUUCAAUCCCUGGGUGGGGAA
rnacentral:tRNA from 1 species